UUGCAUGAUAAUUUGCAUGUGCAUCAUGCUAAGCCAAGUGAUGGUCGAGGCAAAAAGCGUUCACGUAUAUGUCAACGACGUUGAAAUGGUGGACAGAGAAAACGAUGUUCGAAACGAUGACGUGCAUGGCGUAUUGGCCCGUAACAAACGAUCAAGCAGUUCAUCAAGCUCUUCUUCAGGUUCUUCAGAGUCUGAGGAAACCACAACAGCAACAACAACAACAGCAGCAACAGCAGUAUAGUACCACCAACGUAAAUAUGAAAAAGGAUCUUAUUGGCCCGCAGACCUUAUUGACCGCAAGGAACAUCGUAGUCGGAACACCAUUGACGUUAUCAUCCAAGACACGAACUUGAUUACCAUCAGUGUGACUUAAAUGCAUCAUCUAACAUCGGUAGCUUAUCAUGCGUAUGAAUAUGAAAUUAAAUAACUUCAUCUAUAUAAGUCUAUACUUUAUUAUCUUUAAUCCCCUUACUUAAUUAUCAUUAUAAUAGUUUAUCGGAAGAUUGCAUACGUUUUUGUAUCGUUUUGUUCGAAAGUGCUUUUAGUGGUCAAUACUUAUACAGUUUUCCUGCCUGUAGUUGAUAUUAUUCAUGUAUUCGAUAAUUGCGCCAGAGUAAUAAAGUUAUGUUAAAUCGCGGGUGGGGGGUGGGUAUUUCACUUAACUGCAAUUUAGCAAAUACUCUAAACAUGGAAAUCAAAUCACCAAGGUUGUACAACUCCUUGUACUUGAGAAGAUUAAAAAUGCAUA